rnacentral:rRNA from 1 species
UACGAAGGGGGCUAGCGUUGCUCGGAAUCACUGGGCGUAAAGAGCUCGUAGGCGGUUUGUUGCGUCGGCUGUGAAAUCCCGAGGCUCAACCUCGGGUCUGCAGUCGAUACGAGCAAACUAGAGUGUUGCAGGGGAGACUGGAAUUCCUGGUGUAGCGGUGAAAUGCGCAGAUAUCGGGAGGAACACCGGUGGCGAAGGCGGUUCUCUGGGCCUUACCUGACGCUGAGGAGCGAAAGCGUGGGGAGCGAACAGG